AGUGGUGUUAUUGACUUGUUGUUUUAUUGUAGGUUUGAAAUCAGUUGUUUUCCUUUCCUACAGCUCUACUGUGAGCUAGCAGCAUAUGAUGGUUUGUGAUUUGACAACUAUCUUGCAUUUGUCAUUUCAGAAUACCUGACGGUGUUUUCCCAGAUGAUUGCAUUCCAUGAUCCAGAGCUGAGUAACCACCUUAAUGAAAUUGGUUUUAUUCCAGAUCUUUAUGCAAUUCCUUGGUUUCUUACAAUGUUUACACAUGUCUUUCCUUUGCACAAAAUUUUUCACUUGUGGGAUACAUUACUGCUUGGAAAUUCCUCCUUCCCAUUCUGUAUUGGAGUUGCCAUACUUCAACAGCUGAGGGAUCGUCUUCUGGCUAAUGGAUUCAAUGAGUGCAUUCUUCUUUUUUCAGAUU